CUCCUCCUCCUCCUCCUCGGUGUGUGUGUGCUGCUGCCGUCUGCACCGACUGUUUCUGCAGUGUCUCUGUCUGUCAGUCCAAACCUUCAGCAGUUCUUCAGUGGAUCUUCUUCAGUGUAUCUGAGUUGUGUUGAUGAUGGACAGACAGCUGAUGGAUGGACAGUGAAGAGGACCAGAGGAGGACUCACUGAGGACUGUGGAGCAGCUCCAGGCUUUGGGAGGCUUCUUGGUUCCUACUGUGUUGUGGAUCUUUCUGCUCCCAGUGAAACCUUCUGGUGUGAGGACUCCUCUGGACAGCAGAGUGACAGAGUCUCCUUCAGUGUCCAAUCAGACACUACAG